rnacentral:lncRNA from 1 species
CUGUCUGGGUUGUCCUGGCCAACAAACCUGAACCCCCGGCCGGGAUCAUCGGCCGCGGUGUAAUAGAAAUUGAGGGGCAUGGAUACAAUCUCAAUUCCAUUGAUAAAAGCAUAUGAAUCGUUGUAAUCCGGACUUGGAGUGAAGGUUAUGUUCAAUAGCCUCUGAUCGUCUUCGAUGUUAAUGCAGAAUUCUUUGAAAAAGGGAUGGCCGUUGCCAUCUGCUGUCAGUGAAGCGCUAAAGUUUCUUAACAGAGUGAAAGAAGCUGCUUUAACAGAGAAGAAAGCUGCAGAGGGGUUGAACCUUGGUUUUGAAGUUGGAUUGAAAUGCAGGCGGAUGAACUUUUGACCGGCGGUGACGUUGAAUAUGUAGGUGAAUUGCGAAUGAGAAACGCGUGAUGUUGAAUAUGGGACUUGCUUAUUUUCAGUGACGGUUGUUGAUUUGGGAGCGGAUGCGUCUUCAUGUGGGGAGUAUUGAGAGUUAACAUCUCCAACCCAAGUCCGACCGGGAGUACUCGUGUUGCCCAACCAGCCACAAGCAAGAAAUAUGUUGCUUUCUACUAGAGAGUAAUUAGAGUCACCGGUGACGACAACAGCUAGAUGAUGGCAGGAGAAGAAGAAAAAGAAGAAGAAGAAGAAGUGGAAGAUUUUUCUGUAUGUCUCCAUUAAUUUUUUGACAAUUAAUUAAUAGGCAGGCUGCAGCUAUAGCUUUGAUUCUUCAGAUAGCUAGACAUUUAAAGUUAGCAAAUUUUGCAGCAAUAUGUCCGUCUCUGUCAGUUGGAGGCCAGAGGCGCCUUGGCGUUUCGGACAUGACAAUCAAAAUGAUGGAACUUCUUAGUCUUCGUCAACUUCUUAGUCUUUGCCCUUUGGCAUCAGUCCAUUCUACUAUCUCCCGUAAGGCACUUUCCAUGGCCACUAUUACUAGACUUGUUUUGAAAUAUCAACUUAUAUAAAACCAUACUAUGAAACUUCGUAGUAACCACAAAUCAAUCAGUUGGAUUCCAUAAUUAAAUAUACACUUAACAAAUCUAGAUUGGACUUGAAUGUUAAAUUAGUGUUCGGUCACUAAAUUAAAAAAAUAUUCGCCCAUAAUUGGUUAUUUUAGAAAUACAUGUUUAGUAGUUUGUUGAAAGGUUGAACUAAUUAUAUUAAUGGUGUGUUUACUAAUUAGUUAUUGGAAUAAGCUGGAAUCAGAAUGAGCUGGAAUCGAAAUGUGCUGUAAUCAUAAUCAGGAAUGUGAAUUAAAAUAAAUUAUUUACUUGAGUUGCAGGAAUUGGAAUCGAAAUGGAAAUGAGAUUUAUUUCCAUUGAUGUGUUUAUUUUAUCUUGAAAUUGGAAUGGACUAUCAUAAUUUAUAAAAAUGCCCUUUGUUAAUUAUUGUCAAAUGAUGAUGAUGAUGAUGAUGAUGAUAAUAAUAAUAAUAAUAAUGAAAUAAAGAAAAAUUAUAGUAGUAGUAGUAACUUAUCAUUAUAAUAAUAAUAAUUAUUAUUAUUAUUAUAAAUUACAUUAUAAUAAUAUUUUAGUAAAUAAUAAUAAUAAUAAUAAUAAUAAUAAUAAUAAUAUUAUUAUUAUUAUAAGCUUUAAGUUGUAAAAAUAGCCUAUCCAGUUUCUAUUGUUUCUAUUCUAUUGUAAGAAAAUAUCUUGGGCAUUACACUUUUCUAUUUUUUUUGGCUUAUUUCAUUGAUAAAUUUAAUUUAAAUGGAGAUAAACUUGAAAAUUCUAAUUAACUAUAGAAUAGAUAAGCCUGAUUUACAACUCACAUGUUCUCCCCUCUUAUUCCGCUCUUCAUUAAUUUUUGUAUGUUUUUGUGACUUUAUUUAUAUAUAGUCGAGAAUCCAAAUAGUAUGAUUAAAAUAAAAAAUCGAUUAGAAGACAGGUUAGUUUCCAAUUAGUUCAGAACAAGGGAAAAAAAAAAAAAAAAAACUUACCGAUCACUAUUUUACAGGUGAGUUCAUGAGGAAAAUAAUUAGGAGUUGCUUUCUAUUGACCACGGGACUUGCACGCCUGCUUGACUUGUACAAUUACUGUUGUUGAAUUUGUACGACCAUCGUUAGCAUGUUAGAAUUAGAUUGGAUUAUAUUUGCUUGUGUCUUUUAUUUUGUGUAGUAUAAGAUUAAAUUGGAUUAUAAAAGUAAUAUGUUAUUGGAUAUUAAAAUCACAUAUAUAUUUAUUUAGAAGUGGGGCUACUUACAUUUAAAAAAUUACCCUGAACACAUUAAUUUUAAUAAAAGUAUGUAUUUAAAAAAUAAAUUAAAUGCCUUUAGAUAAAGAACAUAUAUUGAUUCAUUCACCUGUUCCCUCCCACCCGCCUUAAUUGUGAGACUAGAACCAUGUACUUUAAUGUUCACAUCGGUGUUGCCCAUAUGCCAAACAUAUCAUCAAGCUAACUUAGGUAAUUAUUACUCGAAAUCACUAAUUAAAUGAGGAUGGAAACCUUAUCAAUUUACGUUAAUCUUUGUCCCUUAUUAUUAUUUAAACUCAGGUAUCAAUAAUGUAAAGUUCAUAUUUAAUUAUGACCAAUUCAGCUAUGCCUAAGCAAUGUCUCUCAGUAACGUAAUGUCUACUGUCAUAGAUUAAACUCAAACCGUCUCAUAACUAGGAUAAGGAUCCUCUCUCUCUCUCUCUCUUUGAUGCAAAAGCUUAACGUAAAUGGACAAAAGCUUCUCAGUGGAUCAGAUUAUGAUGCAAAUAUCUUUUGAUGACGGCUUUAAUAUGAUUAUUCUAAUUUAGAAAAUGUCAAGUCUGAAUACAUUUGGAAGCAUGUGUGAAAGAACUUAAAUCGAAAUUUAUGAGUAUGAAUUUUAUGAGGCUUACUACUAUAGGAUCAAUAUUUCAUUUUCCUGACCCUUUUUAUAUUUUUCCUAUGAAGGAGGCUGAUGAGUGUGGUUGCUAGGCAGAAUUUAAUGCCUUUGCUCUUGCUAUGCAGUGUUCAUUUAGUAAUUUCUCAUUUAAGGUAAAUCCUACCACUCCUAGAUUCUUCUAAUGCGGUUAGCGAACUCUUGAAUAUUAGUUGAAAAUGAAUUAAUUACUUGCAUUUUUACAUAGCUUCAUAAAAACUAGCUUAAUAAAAAUUUAUUUGGAAAUUAUUUGCCAAGAACCUAAUAUUUCUUUUAUAGCUGUUGUUAUUUAAUCCUAUUAUAACUUUCGAAAAAGUAUACUUGGAAAUUUUUUCAGGCCUAAAUUAAAUUCUUCAAGUUUAAAUUGAAUAAAUUUGGCUUUUGGUUAAAUCUCUGAACCAAAUUGAACAAAUUUUAUAAUUUUACUAAUAACAUUAAGUCUAUUUCAAUUCAAAAGAGUGUAAAACUAAAAGAAAACUCGAGAACAUGCAACAGUUUAUAUGAAAGAUACAACAACUGGGAUCAAACAUAAAACAUAGAUGUCAAACAUGAAAUGGGCGAGAAAAUCCUCAAGUUUUGGCUUUAUUUAAGACAUGCAACAGUUUAAGUGAAACAUGCAACAAUAAAGGUCAAACAUGCCACAUAAAAUCUACCUAUAAGAAAGUCAUAUAAAAGUGCAACAGCUGAGGUCAAACUAAUGCUAAACAUGAGAACCAUGUAAACAUACAACAGUUCAUGUCAAACAUGCAAUAACUAAGGUUGAACAUGUAAUAUGAAUGUCAAACAUGAAAUAAACGGGAAAAUCCUCAAUUUUUGGCUUUAUUUAAGACGUACAAUAAUUUAAGUGAAAUAUACAACAAUUGAGGUCAAACAUACAACAUGAAAUCUACAUGUAAAAAAGUCAUAUGAAACAUGCAACAAUUGAGGUUAAAUAGGAAAACCAUGUAAACAUUCAACGAGUCACAUUAAACAUGCAACAAUUAAAGUCAAGCAAGCAAUACAAAUGUUAAACAUGAAAUAGGCGGGAAAAUUUUCGGUUUUUGGCUUUAUUCGAGACAUGCAACAAUUCUAAUAAAACAUACAACAACUAAAGUCAAACAUCAACAUCAAAUCUACAUGGAAAAAAGUCACAUGAAACAUGCACAACUGAGGUCAAACUUGCAACAACUCAGGUUAAACAUGAGUACGAUUUAAAUGAAACACAUGAUAUAUGUGACAGAUGGUCCAGCAUGUGACAUGGAUGUCAAACAUGAAAUGGAUGGGAAAAAUAUUUUGGGGGUUUUUUUUUUUGAAUUCUGUUAUACACAUUUUAUUAUUGAUAUUUCAUCAGACAUUACAAAUUACAAUAUUUACAAUCGUACUAAGCAACUGGGACCACUGCCAUACAUUAACCCACUGAAGUAUUUGCCCAAAUACUUUAAACCCUCUCUAAUAUUCGAGAAGUGUCUACUCCACUCACAUUUCGUAAAGAAGAGACAAUCUCCACUCACAUUUCGUAAAGGAGAGACAAUCUUCACUCAAUUAGUUGAUAAUUUUGGGGUAUUUAGAAUAAUAAAGAUGAGACAAAUAACAAUAUAUAUUUAAAUUUUAACAUUCACUAUGAGACAUCACAUUUAAAAUAUGGAACAAAUAUUUAUCUUGUAUUAUUUAUAAUUAUUUAUUUUUUUUAUUGAUUAUGAUAAGAUGCAACCGAUCAUGAAACUGAUUGCACCAAGUUUUUGGUUGCCAUUACAAUUAGCUCUCUUUUUUAAAGCUUGGCACUAUACCAAUUUGGCAUUGUAGCCAUGCCAAACCCAUGUGAAGAGGAUUGAGGGACAAAUUGAGAAUUAAUGCUUCUUUGGAUCUAAAUUGUAGCUAAACAUACUUGUUUACUGGCCAUUUGUCUCUCUAAAAAUUUUAAGCUAUGAAUUAAUUGCACAUCAAUAAACACAUUAUCUUUAAAGUUUGCAUAGUUUGGGUUUGGCUUUUUAAUGCCCCUGAGCUUUCCAUCAUAAAUAUGGGAUUUGAUUAAGAUAUUAAAAUUGCAACGAUCGAGAGAUUUUCAUUUUGUUUUCAAAGUUUACUUCCAUUUCUCAAGUGUCGAUGGUGAAUCAACAGUACAGGUGCAAAAUCACAGUGUUUUGCCUAUUGAAGUUUUGCAUUUUAAUCGUUUAAGUCCAAAACAAGUUUGGUUUUAUACUUUUGUUGUAGAUAGGUUCUCACAUGUGACACACAUGUGAGUCACUUAUCCUGACCAUAAAAAACUUUUGUCAAGUUUGUUAGGAAGAGUGAGAAAUACAUCAGAGGUAAUACAAAUAAUUAAUACUUAUAUAAAAUGUGUAAUUAAAUUUAAUAUGACCACCACUUGUAUCAUAGUUUUUUUUUUUUUUUUUUUUAUAUACAAUGGGGCUCUAAAAAAGAGCUAAGAAAGGACUAAAUAGGGAAAACCACCCUAUACACAUCAUGAAAACAUAAAGGAAGAGAGCCGACCAAAUUUGCCACAAAGUUAGCCGAAAAGUUAGCCGAAAAGUUUGCUUCUCGAUAAAUAUGGAUGAUGGUAAUAUUCCAAUUCUGCUUGAACUCUUAGAUGGAUCGAAUGAGAGGAGAAAAUUUGUUCACCAAAUCUAAACACUUAGUAAUCAUUUGAGUCAUGUAUUAACGAUCUACUUCAACUUGCAGCCAAAGAAUUUUGGAUUGCCAAACAAUGUCCAAGCCUUGAUAGAGACCCAGACUAUCCAUUCCUCUUAGUUGCAACAUCCGUAUUAAGUUUACACCUAGGCAAAAUGGGAGGAGUCCAGCCAAUCCAUCUCUCAGUCUUCAUAAACCCCUGUUAGAGGCGAAUUGUUAAUCUGUUGAAUUUCCUCAACCCUCAUAGUGACAUUAGUAACCAAAGCUCCACUAUUUCAAGUCACACGACAAAAAAAAAUUGGUUCGCUAAAACCAGAGUCUCCAAAUUGCUACAUUAAAGAAACACCUUUACUAUAAAACUUAUCAAUCAACCAAAAACUCUUCAAGUUUUGAUUCAUCUAAUCCCGAAGAUCAAGGUUAUAACAUUCAUGGCGAUGCGACACAUGAAUGAUUCGAUAUGGGCCUUGCCAGCUCCAAGCAAGGUUCCAAAUCUAAUCUUCUAUAUGAUUUCCAUAAGGGUUGUUAGCAUGUCAUGCAGAUUUGAUUGUAAAAGUGCCUUUAUCAGAAAAAGCCCAAAAGACUUAAUCGUUACCUCUUUGAUCCAAAGAGGAGGGAAAGCAUUUAUUCUGAGGAUGAUGUGAUUAGGGAGAAGAUGUUUGAAUUGGUCUCAUCACCAGUUCCCAUUACAAUAAGUAAAGUUAGUAGUAACAUUAUUAAGGAUAUUGUCAGGAACAAUACCAAUUGCAUGAAAGAACAAUGGUUUAUCUUUUGUAACCCAACGAUCCCACCAAAACUAAUCCCUUCUACCACCUCCUAUAUUCUAGGAAACGCCUAACCAUAUAUCCUUCCCAGCAUUCCCUAUAUCUUUUCACAAGUGAAACCCAUUUCAUGUACGUAAACUUGAAGGAAAAUUAUAGGAAUCCACGCCAUAUUUAAUUAUCAAUACUUGGGCACACAGGCUCGAAAGAGAAGAAAUAAUGCCCUAUCCCAUCUUUAUCAACUGAGCUCGGUUCAUCAUACCAGGAUUUUAAAGCCCAAACCACUACACACUUUUACCUGGCAAAUUUUAUCCCAAUUAACCAGGGUCAUUUUUGUUGAUCUGUUACAUCGCUUCAAAUGAACUUUUUACAAGCAUGCUUAACUUUUGACUUAAGUUUUGAAAGGAGAAUUUUCGUUUGCAUGGCAUAAAUGGAGAUUGCUUGAAGGAAUGACUGAGAAGUGUAGUUCUUCCAACCAGGGAAAGAUAAGAGGUCGUCCAACUAGACAAACUUUUUUCUACCUUGUCGAUGAUCUCAUAAUAAGUAAGCUUAGAGAGAGAAGGAGGGGCAUACCAAGGUAUUUACCACGAUUAUUAGUGAUAGAGUAACUAAGAACUCUUCUAAUAUUAUUAUCCUCCUUAGCAUUAAUAUUCUUUUAUAAGAAUACUUUGGUCUUGGUUCUAUUAAGCUUGGCCUUGGAACUUCUACAGAAAGUAUCAAGGGCCGAAUUGAUUACUCUCGCCUACUCACAGGAUGCCUUAGGUAGAAGCAAAAGAUUAUUAGUAAAAAGAGAUUAGUGAGGGGGGUUCCAUUACAAGUCAAGCAAAUAAGUUUCUAUUCCCCCGUGUCCACUGUAUUGCAAAUACCGUGACCUAGCCUCUCAAUACAUCAAACAAAAAUGUACGGCAAGAGGCGUCCCCCUAAUGAAUUCCCUGAUAAGGAAAAAAUUCAUUCGUCAACUCUCCAUUUCAAAGCACGACCAUUUUCAAAGCUGUGAUGCAUUCCAUAAUAAUUUGUGCAAGAUCCACUAGAUGAUUGUUUUUCUCCGCAUUGCAUGAACGAAACUUCAACUAAGACGGUCAUAGACUUUCUUCAAGUCAACUUUAACCUGCCAUGUUCCCCGUCUACUAGUUUCCUCUGUAUAGAAUGAAUAAUCUCCGGAGCUACAAUAAUAUUUUCAAUAAUAUGUCAGUCUGGUACUAAACUAGUUUGAUGGGGGCCAAUGAGCUGAGGAAUAAUGGUUUUCAACUGACUUGCCACAAUCUUAGUCACAGUUUUGUAAGCCAUAGUACACAUGCUUAUGGGACGAUACAUCCUAAGAUUAAUAGGAUUAUCAUUCUUGGAAUCAGAAUUAGCAAAGUUGAGUUAAUCAACAAUACUCCACUGAAAUUGGUAAAAAAUGGCAUGAAGGCCAUCAACUUCUGGAGCUUUUAACGGCUUCAUGCUGAAAAUAGAAUUCUUGAUUUUGGUAUCAUCAACAAGCCCUUGAAGAGUGUGAAACACAAUCUCAUCAAUAAUCGGAAAACAUCCCAUAAGAAGGUAAGUGUCUUUACUAUCUUCACAAGUAUAUAAAGAUAAAAAGAAAUGAACAACGUGUUGUUUAAUUGCCGCGUUAUCAAAUAACCACUAUGCAGAUUCAUUUGUAUUAUUGCAAUACAAUUUCUUUGUCUUCUAGCAAUAGUUUUUUGGUAGGACUUAGUAGUGUUUCAGUGCCCGUGUAAUAGCCAAGCCUUAAGCCAAAAAUUUAUUCUUGAGACAAAACUUCUUCAAGCUCUUUUUUCAAUUAAAUCUUAAGAUGAAUAAGGCUCUCAGAAUAGUUAUCUUUGAGCACUUUUUAGAUAACCCCCCAACAAGCCAAAAUCUGACGCUUUCUUAUAAAAAUGUUUCCAAAUGGUCCUUAUUCUAGAUUGAGACUUUACCAAUGAAAUAACGAGCCCUUUGAAUAUAGAAAGCACCAGAGUUCCAUGUAUCAGCAACGAGAUCAGUGAACCUAUUGUUGGUAAGCCACGUUGCAAGAAAACAAAAGGGCCUCUUACCUUACUUAUUCCUCUCCUUCCUAUUGAAAUGAACUAACACAGGUUUGUGAUCAAAAGUGACUUUCGAGAGGUGCAACACUGUAUUAUUAGCAAAAUUAUCGAACCAUUCCUCAUUAGACAUCGCCCUGUCUAGGCAUUUAAAAAGAAACUUCGAGACUAGGUAAACCUUGGUCUGUUAAAAGGAAAAUCAUAUAUCUUUUUAGAAUGAAACUAGUUGUAAAACAAACCAAAAAAUAUACUAGUAUUUACAAAACCACUUUUCUUCUCUUAAGCAUACAAGAUAGAAUUAAAAUCACCACCCAUUAGCAAAGGGCCUUGAACCGCGUUAGCAAAAUUAUCCAAAUGUUCCCAGAGGUGCUUCCUAGAGAUGGCCAAUGGAUUGAACGGCACGGGCAUGGCACGUGUUCGCACAGCACAGCACGGCACGACACUAGCACAUUUUGAUGGGGCAUGCAGCAUGGUACAGCACACAUGUGGGCUGGGCCACACUUAGAAUUUUAGGCACGCGGACUUUAAAAGCACGACAUGAUUAAAAAUGGGUUAAGCAUGACAUAAUGAAAAAGGCCGCAAUAAGCAUGUUUUAUUUUUUUAAUGAAAGUAAACUUAAAAUUUUAUGAUUUUACAAAUAACUUGAAAUUGAUUUUUUUAAAUUUAUUUAAUUCUUAGUUAAAAAAUACUAUAAUUGAUUUAUAUUUUUAAUUUAUUAAAUAAAUAAUUGAUAUCAUGAUUUUAAUGAAUAAAAUUAUAAAUAUCAUGAUUUUAUAAAUAUGCAUUAAUAUUAUUGUGAAUUAUGAUCUAUGACUUUAUGGAAGUCCAAGUUAAUAUUUAAAUUAACCCUUAAGAAAAAUUUAUUAUUAUUGUUGUUGUUGUUAAGUAUUAAAAAAAUUAUAAUACUAUAACGUCAAACUUAGUAAUUGAUAUUACAUUCUCUUACUAUUAUUAAUUUAUUAUUAUUGAAUAUGGACUUGAGUUUUGAAUUUUGAUUUUAUUAAAUGUGAAUAAAGGUAUAAGCCUAAAAAAAUAUAUAUAGACUUGAAAAAAGUACGCUAAUAGUUUCGCAUACACUUUUAAAAAUUUUUUAAAAAAGAAAAAAAUCUUAUUGGGCUUUUCUUUUCAGGCACGGCAUGACACCAGCACGAGCAUGUAUAGACCUUACUUUGAUGGGCCGAGUUAGCAUGGUGCUGCCUAUUGGCCAUCUCUAGUGCUUCCUGAUAAUAGGAUAGGACUAGCGUAGAUAGCAGUGAUCCAUGACACGAAGUUGUUAUUCUUACAAACUUUGAAGUGAAUAAAUUGUCUAUGAUUGGUAACAAUUUCUAUAUUGAAAAAGUCCUUUCAUAGGAUCCAAAUCCCCUCAGAGAAACCAGUAGCUUCAACUCUAGGGGAUUUAUCAAAGCUAUUUCUUUUAAUGAAAUCAUCUGCUUUAUACCCACUGAUUCUAGGCUCUAGUAAAACAACCAUGACCGGCUCAUAAUUCUUGAUAAGAGAACCAAAAAAGCGACAGAAGACUAGCAAUGUCGCUCCAUAGACAUUCCAAAACAUAAUUGAUAAAGACAUCUAGAUAUGUACGAUAAAAGUACGAAACACCUUAUAAUUUCGGCCCUGAGGCCUUGAUCUCCAAGUCCAUAGGUGAUUCAUCCACAAGAGACAUAUCUCCAUCAGAAGAACCAGACUCAUCAUUAUCACUUUCUCUCAUAUAAUUGUUAUCCUUCCCAUCAUCAUCCAUGUCGCUAGUGAUAAUUAAGUGCCGGUAUUAGAGGGAUCAUCGGCUAGUUUAGAUGACUUAUCAUACUGCACACCAGUUAUAUUGUCCUUAGCUUGGCCACUGGAAGAGGAAGCAGCGGAAUUAUUAUUGGUAGAGGCAACAGUGGUGAAAGGGAUAGUAGAGUGGUAUAAAGGAUUGAGACUGGUUGGGACGAUAGUUGGUACAUGCUGGCUAGUCUGGUUUAAAUGGACGUUCGUUUUGCUAUGUAAGGUGUGUGGGAGUUGUACGAGAGUAGCAUCAAUAGCAUUCGGUUGGUUGGUAGUGUUGGGGCCAUGAAUAGAAAAAUCCGCACGUAUGACAAUGCUUAGGUUGGGGGUGGAAUUUUGGCUUUUUUUUUUUAAUGUUGAUUUCUAAGGACAAGUAGAAUAGUGGUAUUAUUGGAGGUUGGCACAUUACAAUUCAUGGUAAUUGGAUAUGACUUAUUAAUGCCAUGAUUUGGGUCCUCCUCAUUGACGCUGGCAAGAAUACCAAAUCGCGAUUCCUAGCCGAAAGAUCCCCAGUGACCACGCUCAGAAUCACGACCAAGCUCUCUUGCCUUGUCAAUAUGAGGUUUCCCUUUCCUGGAAACUACCAUCCAUGGCCCAAGUUUAGGGAUACUCUGGUUAUCAUCACUGGUUUUAUUGACCAUCUGCUUGCCGAAGAUGUUCACAUGUUGAUUUAGCUCCCCUGGGUUACCAUUUUCCUCCGUAUGAUUAGGGCAAGAUUCCUUAUUAUGGUCAUAUUUUUCACUCUGGAAACAAAUAUUAGGAAGACUUUCAUAUUCCACCUUCUGAGUUUUUCCAUCCAACAAAAACUAUAAAACAAGAGGUUUUUAAGAUCAAUUUCAACUGCAAAUACAAGCGAAAUUUCCUCUUAUUGCUGACUCGAUGUUAUAAUCAAUUCUGAUAACUGAUCCAAUUAUCUAGUUGAGCAUAUGAUGAAUUUUUUAUGAUAAUAAUGUAGAGCCAUGCACAACAGGCAGAUCCAAGCUAUAAUCGAAUCAGUUUCCUCCUUAGAACUAUCAAAGUGAGGAGUUCAUGGUUGCACCGUUAAAUAGCGGCCUAAAAUUGUCCAAGGACCAAGAGUCAAAGCAAACUCGGCAUCAUCGUUUGAUUUAAAGCGGACAACAUAAAAAUCAUUCUCAAGGUCAAUGAUAGAGAAACCAAAGGUCGAGCUCCAAGUUGCUUCCAAGCGAUUGCAGAGAGCUCAAUACCCUAUGUGACGUCACAAUAGCUUGACAACAACCGUAUGCUGCGAAAGCUUGAUAAGUUGGUCGUGAAGCUUUUGGGAGAAAGAGAUGGAGUGUAAAUUACCACAUCGUGUUCUUAAAAAAUCAAUUCAUCAUCAUGGCCAAUCAAAUCUGCUUCAACUUCCCUUUGUGAUUCCAUGAGUAUAUCCUUAAAAGAGAUAUGCUCAGGGUUGUCUCUAUCCUCACGUUGAGGCCUAAAUUUUGCUUCUUUGGUAGAUCGAUCAUCAUUUAUUGGUGAACUGAAGAUUUUUACUACUUGUAUCAUAGUUUUUCAAAAUAAAUGUACUCAUAUUAUAGCAUCAUUUUCUUAUUAUAUAAUCAAAAAUAGAAUCCAUUUAUUCAUUAUAUUAAGUUGUAAAUAUAUCUUUCUAUAUGUAUUCCUAAAUUACAGUAGACUUGGAUUGCAUAGCUUAAUUAUAGGGAUCCUAGCUUAACUAUAGGAACUGGUGGUCGUGUAUAGCAAGUCAGUCGUAUGUAUAUAUAUACUCAAUCAAAUGUCAAUAAAAUUAACUCUGCCCAUUCUACUUUUCGCUCAUAUUUACAUGCUAUCAGAGCAAGGACUCGCUGCACUUUAAUCUCUCGUGUAGCAUCUCUCUUUCAACCAUCAUAACCCUUGAGGAUAUUCCUAAAACCAGCCAUUCUGAUCCACAAAAAUCAGAGAUUUUUGCAGAUUCCUCCAAGGCAGAUCUCUCCAAUCCUUUUGCACUCACCAUUUGGAUAACCCUGGAUUGAUUCUCGUCUUCAAACCUCUAAAUGGGGAUAAUUACUUUGGUUGGAUAAGGGCUAUGGUUCGAGCUUUAAACUCCAAGAAUAAGCUCAGAUUUGUCAAUGGUUCUAUCAAAGUUCCUUCAGAAGAAGUUGAUCCUGAAGGCUAUGCGACUUGGUCGAGAUGCAACGAUAUAGUUCAUUCCUGGAUUGUCAAUUCUUGCGAUCCAGAAAUAGUUGACAGUGUGACUUUUUAUUUUACUGCUCAUUAGGUUUGGAAAGAUCUUUAUGAGCGUUUCUCUCAAGUCACAUCUUUGAGAUACAACGAGAUAUUGCUUUUCUUCGACAAGAGUAACUCUCUGUCUCUACUUAUUAUACUAAGUAAAAAAGUUUUUAGGAUGAAUUGGCAACACAUUCAGACAUAGCACAAGCCAAUCGACAGAAAUUGAUGCAGUUUCUAAUGGGUCUAAACAAAACUUAUAGUGCAAUUCGAAGUCAAAUCCUGCUCAUGAAUCAUUUGCCUUUUAUUCGCCAAGCCUACUCUUCAAUCUCCCAAGAGGAUAAACUGCGCCUCCUCAGUUCAACGCAUACAAGCACCAAUUCAAGUAGCAGAGCUGCCGCCAUGGCUGUACGCAGCAAGCUGAUUCCUUCGGCAACAAGAAAAACCGAACAAACUUGCUCUCAUGGGUUCCUAGAUUCUCGCGAUCGAACAUACUCUCAGGCGUAGGAAUUUGCAGGACCUCAAGAUGGAGAUCAACGUUGAUCUGGCUCUAGGAGAGGUAGGGAUUUGUGUGACCACUGUGGAAAUUUCAACCAUUGGAUCCAAAAAUGUUAUAAGUUGCAUGGAUACACACCGGGCCAUCUUAAAGCUAAAAUGAACUCAGGCCAAAAUUCAAAUCGGCAUAAAGGUAUUUCUAUGGCUGAUCAAGUUGGAGAGGUGUCAAACACAAAUGAAGGCUCACUUACAAUAUCUGAUGCUUAAUUCAAGCAAAAUGAACUCAGGCAUAAAGGUAUUUAUGUGGCUGAUCAAGUUAGAGAGGUGUCAAACACAAAUGAAGGCCAUCCUAAAGCUAAAAUGAACUCAGGCCAAAAUUUAAAUCGGCAUAAAGGUAUUUUUGUGGUUGAUCAAGUUGGAGAGGUGUCAAACACAAAUGAAGGCUCACUUACAACAUCUGAUGCUCAACUCAAGCAACUUUUGUCACCCCUGAAUAAUCAAAAUGAAGGUUCUCACUCUAAAGCAAAUGCGGUAACAAACCCAGGUUUGUCUAAGAUUGCUUCCCGAAAUUUGAUUAUUGAUAGCGGGGUGACAUAUCAUAUUACUUCAUCAUCUAAUUUAUUGCAUAAAGAUAACAACUGCUCGUUACCGCCCGUGUUGUUGCCUAGUGGAGAAAGAUCAAAUAAUGUUGCAAAAGGGUUUUUACCUCUCAAUUACGUCUAUUAUCUGCAUGAUGUGUUAUCUGUGUGUACAUUUAAGGUUGAUUUGAUGUCAGUUAAUCGUUUGACAAUAGGUUUGAGUUGUUCAGUGACGUUUUUCCCAUUUUGCAGGAUCUAGCUAUGAGGAGUACAAUUGGUUUAGGUAAACAACGAGAUGGGCUAUAUUUUUUAGUGGCAUUAGCGACAAAGCAAUCUGUGACAAAACCUUCCUCAUCAAACAAUCGACCAGUCUGCAAUCUCACCAUCUCAUCCACUGACCUCUGGCAUAAUCGCUUAGGCCAUAUAUCAUAUUCUCGUUUAAGCUUUAUUGCCAAGAACUUUUUGAAUUUUUCUGUUGAGUCUAAUAAUGCAUGCCUCAUAUGUUCGUUGGCUAAGUAAAGUCGUUUUCCUUUCAAUAACAGUGUUAUUUCUUCUACAAAACCUUUUGAAAUGAUUCAUUGUGAUAUUUGGAGUCGUUAUCGACACAUUUCCAUUACCGGAGCUUAUUAUUUCCUCACUAUUGUUGAUUAUUAUAGUCGUUCCACAUGGAUUUUUUGGAUGCGACACAAAAACGAAGCACAAUGUCUUUUAAAAAGCUUCUUCAACUAUGUUUCCACUCAAUUUAACUGUUGUAUUAAAACAUUUUGAAGUGACAAUGGUAGAGAAUUUAUCUCACUUAGAUCUUUCUUUCAAGAUCAUGGUGUUGUUUUCCAAACUUCAUGCGUUUACACGCCUCAACAAAACAGGGUUGUAGAACGCAAACAUUGCCAUAUCUUACAAGUAGCUCGAGCAUUAAAAUUCCAAGCACAACUACCAACCCAAUUUUGAGGCAAAUGUGUACUCACUGCUGUACACAUCAUUAAUAGGUUACUUUCACCUGUUAUUUCCUUCAAAACUCCUUACAAACUUCUCUAUUCAAAAUUGUCUUCCUUUUUCCCAUCUUCGUGUUUUUGGGUGUUUGGCCUAUGCCACUAAUGUUCACACUUCUCACAAAUUCGACUCUCGUGCUAUACCAUCUAUCUUCAUCAGUUAUCCCAUCGCUCCAAAGGGCUACAAAUUAUUUAAUUCAUCAACUAAAUAGAUUUUUACAAGCCGGAAUGUAAAAUUCCACGAAACCAUUUUUCCUUACUCAUCCGUCCAACCCAAAUUUUCUCUUCCCCUGACAGCCCAUCAAUCAAGCCCAAUUCAUUUAAUUACUUCCUCCAUCGACUCAUCAUUUCACUCUAACGUAAUUCCACCAAGCCUCAUUCCCUUAUCCCACCUCUCUCUCAAUUCUCCCAAUCAAAUUUUCUCUCCUCCUCCCACGGUAGCACCGCCGUCUUCCCCUUCCUAGGCCAUCCUUCGUACUUAUUUUCGUCGUCCUAAAUUUGUUGCCCCAUUAGUCUCAAAUGACCCACCUUUUUAAUUCCAAGUUCGACCAAAGGUACAUGAUAUCCACUGGCUAAUUAUAUUUCAUAUCACUGAUAUAAGCUUGCUUAUCAGUCCUUUAUUGUUCAAAUCAGUAAUCUCACUGAACUCAUGUCUUAUUUAGAAACUGUCGUUCUCCCUGAGUGGCAAGCGACCAUGCAUUCCAAAUUGCAGGAACUGCAAGAAAAUAGUACUUGGUCUUUUACCCCUCUUUUGGCUGGUAAAACUCCAAUUGGCUGUUGUUAGGUUUACAAGAUAAAAACAUAAGUUUGAUGGAUCCAUUAAACGGUAUAAGGUGCGGCUUAUAGCCAAGGGUUUCACUCAAUUGGAAGGAGUUAACUACCAGGAUACUUUUUCUGCGACAACGAAAAUAAUUUAUGUUCAUUGGUUGUUGGUGUUAGCUGCUACCCGUGGUUAGUCUCUUCAUCAACUCGACGUCAAUAAUGCCUUUCUUUAUAGUGACCUCCUAGAAGAAAUUUACAUGUCUCUCCCGCCAAGGCUUCGGCGACAGUGGGAGGAACACUUGGUUUGUCACCUCCACAAGUCAUUAUAUAGGUUUAAACAUGCAUUUUGUCAAUGGUUUCUUAAAUUCUCUGAGGCCAUACGUUCAGUCGGAUAUGUACAAUCAAAAGCUGACUACUCUCUGUUCACUAAGAAGCAAGGCAAGUCCUUUAGUGCCCUUUUGAUAUAUGUUGACGACAUUUUAAUCACUGAAAAUGAUCCUAUAAGUAUAAUCGAUAUCAAAAAAUUCAUGCAUAAUCAAUUUCACUUUAAAGAUCUAGGAGACUUGAAGUAUUUCCUUGGUAUUGAGAUUUCUGCAUCUAGGAAAGGUAUUUUUAUUUCUUAGAGAAAGUAUGCGUUGGAAAUUAUAAAGGAUGCAGGGUUAUUAGGGGCAACUCCCAUUGAUACUCCCAUGGAAUGUGGCUUAAAAUUGUUUGAUAAAAGUGAGCCACUCAAAGACCCAAGGCGAUAUAGGCGAUUAGUUGGAAGAUUAAUAUAUCUCACAGUUUUGAGGCCGGAUAUCAUGUACUCUGUCUAUAUAUUGAGCAGAUUUAUGCACCAACCCCGGAAGGAUCAUUGGGAGGUAGCCAUACGGGUUGUACGCUAUUUAAAAUCUGCUCCUGGCCAAGGCCUUUUCUUCUCCUCAAUUAGUGAUCUUUGGUUGCGAGCAUAUUGUGACUCGGACUGGGCAGGAUGCCCCCUUACAAGAAGAUCUACUACAUGGUAUUGUGUGUUCUUGGGCCCUUCGUUGAUUUUGUGGAGAUCGAAGCGACAGAAAACCGUCUCCCUUUCCUCAGCCGAAGCAUAGUAUCGUGCGAUGACUGGAUCUUUUUGUAAAUUAACAUGGCUUCAUUACUUAAUUAGAGAUUUGGGGAUUUUACAUCAAGAGGCUACAUUGCUAUAUUGUGACAAAAGGUUGCAUUACAUAUAGCAACUAAUCCAAUUUUUCAUGAGUGCACAAAGCACAUAGAGAUGGAUUGCCAUUAUACAAGAGACAAGAUACAAGAUGGUUGUGUGAUAACGAGAUUUGUGAGUUCCGCGAAUUAGCUUGCCGAUGUGCUGACCAAAGCUUUGGGAAAAGAAGUUUUCAUGCCUAUGGUUCUCAAGUUGGGAGUGCCAGACAUUCACUCUCCAACUUGAGGGAGAGUAUUGGAAAGUAGAAUCUAUUUAUUCAUUAUAGUGAGCUGUAAAUAUAUCCUUCUAUAUGUAUUCCUAAAUUACAGUAGACUUUGAUUGCAUAGCUUAAUUAUAAGGAUCCUAUCUUAACUAUAGGAACUGAUUGUCGUGUUUAGCAAGUCAGUCGUAUGUGUAUAUAUACUCAAUCAAAUGUCAAUAAAAUUAAUUCUGCCCAUUUUACUUUUCUCUCAUAUUUGCAUUAUAUAGUUGAUAUAAUACUUUUGAUAUAUUUUAAAAUUUCUCUAGCCUAGCUUUUGGCAUAACUUCAAGGAUAGAUUUGUGAAUUUAGAAAGAGAAUUAGAAAGGGGUUUCUUCUUGUAAAUUGUUCUUUCUAAAGUUUUUAACAAUAAAGAAAUAAACAUAUUUUUAGUUGGAAUUAAGCAACUAGGAGGUUGAACGAUCAAAAUCUGUGUGUACUCAUCUUUUUAUUUUGAUCUGUUUCUUUUAUUAUUCUUGCUUCGAUUCUUGUGAGCGUCAUCUUGAUCCUGGGGUGUUUAAUUUGUAUUGUAAAUAUAGAUUCAAACCCAACACCAAAGAGAAAGGCCCUUUUUUUAUUUUGGGUUGUUAUUCCCUGCUUUGUUUAUAAUCAAAACAAUAAGUCCUUUUGAUGCUUCAAACACUAGGCCAAGUUCUAUUAACUGUAGUGCUGCUGGGUGACCGAGGCUUCCUAGACAAACAUAGACUAGAGAAUCGACAUCUUGUAAAUCAUGCCACUAUAAACAUUUCGUCCUGUGCACCAAAUUUUAUCCCCUCAUACGUUUCAAAAUUUUUUUGACAUAGGCUUUUCCAAUUCCUCAAAUGUUUUCACCUAACCCUAAUGUCUUUCUGAAAUUCUUUCGUAUCUCUAAUGAUCCCACAUUGACAACACUAGGUAGCUGAGCUAGAUGUGGGCAUUAACAUAAAGUGGCCUUGUGCCAGACGUAAGAGCAAGACAAAUCGAUGCAGAAGGUUUACAGAGGCCAUGUGGAAGAGAGUUUAGUUUCUGCAAAGGUGAAGCUAAUAUGUCUUUGAGAAUUUCAGGUUGAGUGUCUAUCUUUUGUUACGUAUGACGUCAUGAGGAAAAGUUCCUUAUAACUCAGACUAAUUGUCCUUUAUUUUUUCUUCGUUGGUCUACAGCUCUAAAUUGCUUGAUACAAGUAUGACUGAAGCGCUGUUGAUAACUUAUUUUGCAGAACAUAAUAUAUUGAAUAAUCUUUGGUUUAAUGCAAAAUAAUUAGUUUUCUAUCAUACUGCUUAAGCUGGACGACUAUUUUAGAACAUAUGAAAUAAAUUACAUGUUAUAUUUUGCCAUUACAUGAUAGUUAAAGGAAUUUCCUUUAAAAAAAUUCAAGUACAUGGUAGAAUAUUAAGUCAUUCUUUGUAUUAUUAUUAAGGGAAAUUAUCCACUGUCUACCCUUUUUUUACUGUUUUUAAAAAAUACAUAAAUCUUUUUUUUCCAGCACUCCACCUGAAGUUAACAUUUUUUUCAUUAGUCCACACUCGUUAUAAUACCGUUAGAACUUUGUUGACAUCAUAAGGGUAAAAUUGUCAUUUUAUAACGACAAAGUAUUGGAAAGGUGCAAAACAAUAUAACUUCAAGUGGAGUUUAGCAAAAAAAAUAUUAAGUAUUGUGUAUUUUUGAAAAAAUACGAAAAAAAUAUGGUUGGUGGAUAAUUUAUCUUUUACAUUUAAGGGUUAAAAAGUCAUUUAUACAAUAUUUCGUUAGUUUUCUUAACGGUCUCCAAACGGAAGUGGAAAAGUGAAAAAAAAUGUAAGUUCAGAUGGAUUCCAGAAAAAAGUUGGAAAAAAUAGGUGGACGAUGGAUAAUUUCCCUAUUAUUAAUCUAGCGCUAGACAUGGUAGAAUAUUAAGUACAUUCGACAAAACACUUAUUAAUAAAAUUAUAUCAUAAGUUAAUAUUUGCAGUAUGAGAAUUAUUAUAAAUCAAGUAUUUAAUUGUCAAUAACAAUUUAUCCACCAUUGUAAUUACAAUUAAAAUGAUAAUUACAAUCACAAUUAAAAUAAUGUUUACAAUUACAAUUAUGAUAACAAUUACAACUGCAAUUGUAAUUCGUAAUUAUAAUUAUAACAUUAUAUACAAACUGCAACUGUAAUAAUUAUUGUAAUUGUAAUUGUAAUUACGAAUACAAUUGUCAAUGUAAUUCCAAUUCCAAUUACAAUAGUUGUAAUUGUAAUAAUCUUUAUAAUUAUUAUUUUAUUUGUAAUUGUCAUUGUAAGAGUUGUCGUAAUUAAAAAUGUAAUUAGUGAGUGUCAACUAGUUUAGAUAUUAAAAUCUUUUGUAUUGGAAUUUGGAAAUAAAAGGCCUGAGUUCAAACCGUGCUAACAUGGGGUGAGAGGGGAUUGGUUUGUCAUUAGUUGAGAUGUAAAAUCUCUUGUGUUGAAAAUAACAGGAUUGGAGGUUUGAAUUUCGUUCACAUGAAUGGAGAGGAGAUUGGAUUGUCAUUAGGCUAAACAAUUAAAAAAAAAAUUGUAACUAAAAUUAUUGUUGUUGAUGUCAAAAUUUGGAUUAGUCAGUUACUGACUGGAUACCAAAUCUCUGUGUCAGCAUUAUAUUUAUUUGUUUGGGAAGUGGCUUAUGAUCACUAGCAGAUAACUCGUAAACACUUGAAAUCACAAAGAAUGGUAAGAGGCGGUAGAAGUUUUUCUAGCGUGAACCCUCUGACACCUAAGUCAGUUAUCAGGUUUGCAAGAAAGAUAAAAUAUGUAAUUUCUAGUUUUUUAUGAAUAAAUAAUCUUAAGUAAAUGGAAUAGAAAAAUCAAAACUGAGAAAGAAAAUUGAACCUCCUCUUCGUUUGGAUUUUUUUGGACUUCUAUAAGCAUAUGGAAUUAUUGCACCAUCUUUAAUGCGUUGGCGUUACUAGGUUGAAUGUGUCGCUUAAAUCAUGAGUUACUACGAGCGUUACAAAGUAAUUAUUGAGCUGCAAUUAUAGUAGCUAGGCGUGCGUGGACAUUAUGCCUAACUUUUCGAAAGGAACCCGUCACUAAAACUUAAUUGGAAUCUUUGGACUGACCAGAUUCUGGUCUCCUCAAACCCAUCUGCUCGAGGUUACUAGAUUACCUCUUGGUGGAGAAGGUCUGCUCAAGGUCACUAGAAUCACCCCUCAGUCGAGGCGGUCUGCUUAUGGUAUUAAGAAUUACCUCCUGGUCAAGGUGGUCUGUUUGAGAUCAUCAAGGUUACCAUCUGGUCAAUGUAAUCUGCUCGAUGUUACUAAAUAAUAUCAUGGUUGAGAUCAUCAAAAUUACCACCUGAUUGAGGUUGUCUGCUCGAGGUCACCAGAAUUUUCUCCUAGUAGUCUAUCAACUAUUUGCUCACUCUUUACCUCGUUGAGAUCAUGAUCACUCUAUUUUAUUCCCCAAACAAUUGUUGUUGUAAUUAAAUUAUUAUUUGCUACAAAAUGACUAUUAGGAAGUGAUAUAAGGUAGCUCACAUUGUAAGAAAAAAUAAACCAGAUAGAUUCCCGAGAAAUAUUAGAGGGUUACAAAUGGUCCUACUUAAAAUUUAGAUUCUUUAAACAAUGUAUGAUACUAUGAUGAAGUAUUGUGAAGCUGCUUAACCAAAUCUUUUAACCAACACUCUCCAAGAUCCUCGAUUAGAAUCAACAAGAUGCUUAAGAGAUGAUAUGAAUUGCUAAUAAAGAAUCUAUGUAUGAACAAGAUGGUGACUAAUUCAAAAACGAUCAAAGAAUUAGCCAACAAAUCAAAGAAUCAUAAAACAAAGCUAUUAACGUGGUUCAGUCAAUUUGCAUUGACCUACAUCCAUGAGGGACCAAGAACGCCUCUCUCAAACAAGCUAUCUCUCUCUCUAUCUCUCACACCGGAAUUAGUCGUAUAAAUAGUUUUAACGAACCCAUAAACUUUUCCAGAAACGCAUGUGUUUACCACGUGAAUUAACGGCGUCAUAACAACUUUUGCAAAUCACGUGCGUUGCACAAGCUUCAUUAAACUAAAAACGGCAAAGCUUCUGGUCGUUUAAGCUAGCAAACUUAAUGCACAUCAAAACAUAGAUCUUGCAUGUCGUUUUGCCUUCGUCAUGGACAUACCAAAAACGCAAAUCACCUCUGUCGUUUUGAUCUCUUUAAUUUGCUUCAUGGAUAUAUGACCUUUAUGAUAAAACCUUUGUAAACUAUCUGAGCUUACUAAUUGAUAUAGCAUAUAUUAUUAAUUAUAAAUUACAAUACUAUGUGAUAAUAAAUAUAAAAACAUAAAUAUGAGGCUUGGAAAGGUACAAUGUUUUUAAAAAAGAUUCACUACCUUUUCAACAAUACUUAGGUUAUAUUGGUGUCUGAUUGCCUAUCUUCUAGGAUGAUUGAAUUUAGAUCAUCUCAAUAUUACAAUUUUACAAUUUUAGCGAACUUCAAAUAAGUAUUCCAUUAAGUGUUUGAAUUUUAUCACAAGCGCUAGAGAGAAUUUGUUUUAGAGGGAGGAGGAAAAAUCACUUUGACUAAAGCAUUACAGAAAUGAGGUCUCUCCAGAGAUUUAUAAGAGAUGGGGUUUCCUCCAGAGCCCGCAAUAAGCGCCUAUGACACUUCCGGUUCCAUCAGAAACUCUUCUAAGCCCGCAAUUGGGAUGUUCAUCAUGUCGAUGUUGUCUUUCAAAGACAGAGAGGCUGCUGCUGCCGACGUACUAUUAAUUAUUUAUAUGUUGCUGAAUAAUAAAAUUACUACUAGUGCUGAAGAGAAACCAACAAAGACAAAAUGGUUGGCUUGUGGUCAUGAUCAAUGGAUUAAAUGAUUUCUUUCUUAAUCCUAUAUUCCUAUGUAUGUAUGGGUCGUCAGUUUCUGUAGAAGUACUAAAAAAAUAACUUGCGUUAGAAAAAAAUAAAUAAAUAAAGAGAUAACUAAUGGAUAAUAAAUGAAUGGCUUAAAACUGUUUUUGUCCUUCAAUUGACUAGGAUCAUAGACUUCAUUUUCGGUCAAUAACCCUUAUUAAUAGUAUGGUGAGAAAUUUUAAAAUAUCUUUGAAGUAUCACGUCAGUUAUAUAUAUAAUAAGUAAAUAAUAUUAUAAUAUAUAUAUUUAUUUUUAAAAAAUUAAUAUAUAAUUAUUAAUUAUAUAAAUAUUAUAAUAAUAAUAAUAAUAAUAUUAAUAUUAAUAUUACCUCAAAUAUAUUCUAAAAAAUACAAAUUAACUGCCGACCCAUACGAUCAAUCAAGUUGUAACUAGUUAGCUACAUAGCUAGUGACAUAUGGUGGACCUCUCGAUUGUCGCUGUGAUUGCCAUGAUCAGCACAAUUCACGCAUAAUGUUGUGGUGGGACAUAAUAACUGACUUGCUCAAGUCGUCGCGGGUGGCAGCGUUCAACUUUUCAAAGUCUUGUGCAGAAAACAUACGAAAGCAUUUGUUUGCAAUAGAACCGCGCGGCUUUGAAAAAAUAAUUUAAUAUUAUUUUUUUAUUUAUUUUUUUUUUAACGAUUAUUCUAUUUGAUUAAGAGGAAAUACUUAAAAAAAUGAAAAAAUAAAGUAAAGUUAAAACCAAAAAUACUUUUUUAAUUAUUUAAAAUUACAUUAGCUAAAUUAACACCACAUAAAUAAAAGUGCCAUAGAUGCACCUUAUCUAAGCCAAAACUUAAAAAUCUAAGGCUGAUAUAUCAUUGCGAGGCCACUUGGAGAAGGAGCAGAAGAUGCAUCACAGUAGCCUCUCAGUAUGUUCCCUUCUUCGACAGUGAAUCCGAGAGAGGUGAGCAUUGCAAGCCAGUAAUUACGGGUGAUAAUAUCAAUAGUGUGGCAACAGUCAGGGCUAAUAUCAGCCUGGACAUUAAGGAAUAAUAUAAUAAUCUCAUUUGAGCAUGAUUUCAGCUCCAUUAACGCGUUCUAGUACUUCGUUAGGCCUCCGCUAGCUUCAAGUCUUGUUGCAAGAUCGUAGUCUGAUUUCAUAUUGUUGUUGAGGCGAUCAUUCCUACUGGUUGCAUUUGCAAUAUUUGUCAUGAUGAGGCAAGUGAAGGCCAAAAUGAAAAACACAUGUUUUAGAGCCAUUGUUAUUUUCUGUUCUUUUAUGUUGUGUUUAUAUUUAUGUAGGAUAUCAUAUUUUUUGUUGCUAUUUAUAAAUUAAGGUGAGGCAGAUGAGAAGAGUGAUUAAAUUAUUGCUUAAUUUAUAAUCAAGAAGGUUUCAAUUAAAGAAGAUAGUAAGUUUUUUGAUGAAUUGUUACGUAUUGAUUGUGUAAUAACAGUCAAAUUAAUUAUGAGAAGAUGAAAAAUCAAAUUUGAAAGAAAAUUUCUCUAUUUAUUAGAUAAUAAAUAAUAUACAAAGAUGAUAAAUGGUGAUGCCACAUCACCUCUUGUAGUCCAAACUUUAUAUAAAUAUAUAGAUUAUACUAUAAGCUUUCCAAUUCGACUAGAAUUGCUUAGCAAGCCUGUUUUAAAAAGUUCAAUUUUAAGUCACCGGCAAAAUAAUUUUGUAACGAUUUCCAAUUUUGUUCUUAUCUUCAUUUCGGGACCGCCUAAGUUACAAUUAAUGUAACUUACAGCCAGCCUGUAAAAAUUCACCAAGCCCCCUAUACUUUAUGUUAUUUAUAAUUUACUCGUAAGUAUUAUAAAAUUUUUUGUAUUGUAAUAUUUCGUUUAACCCCUUACACUUAAUUUUAUUUUAUUAAAACCCAAGAGUAGAAUUCGCCCCCUAUAAUUUUAAAUUUCCAAAAUAACCUCCACUUAAUUAAAAAACAUAAUUAUUAUCAAAUGAAUUAUAAUUAUAACUAUUAUUCUAUUAUAAUCAUAAAUAUAAUUAUAUUUUUAAAUAUAUUAUUAUUGUUAUUAUUAAUAACAAGAAUAAAAAGUAUUAUAAUUAAUUAAUCUAUUAACAAUAAUUAAUAAUAAUUUUUUUGUAAAAUUUUUAAUAAUAAUAAUUAACGAUAAUUAUUAAUAAUAAUUAAUUUUUGAAUAAUAAUAACAAUAAAAAUAAUAAAAAUAUAAAAUAAUAAUUAUGAUAAAAAUUAAUGAAUGGUUUUAUAGCAAUUGGUUAUAAUUUAACUCAUUUUGAUUUUGAUUCUAAGGCAAAGUAAACAAUAAAUGGUAAUAAAGCUCAUUUUAAUUACGAUUCCUGCAGUUCAAGUAAAUAAAUUAUUCAAUUAGAUCACUCUAUAUUAUUUACAAUUUAUUCAUAAGUAUUAUGAAUUUUAUAGUGCAUUCACUAAACAUGAAUCAAAUUUAGCCGGAAACAAAAUGAAUUACAAUCAGAAAAGUUAGAAUCAAAAUGACUUUAAUUAUUGUUAUUAUCAUUCAAAAAUUAAUUAUUAAUAAUAAUUAUCGUUAAUUAUUAUUAUUAUUAACAAUUUAACAAAAAAAUAUUAUUAAUUAUUGUUAAUAGAUUAAUUAAUUAUAAUACUUUUUAUUCUUGUUAAUUAUAAUAAUUUAUUUAAAAAAUAUAAUUAUAUUUAUGAUUAUAAUAAAAUAAUAGUUAUUAAUUAAAUGGAAGUUAUUUUAGAAAUUUAAAAUUAUAGGGGAUAAAUUCGUACUUUAGGAUCUCAAUAAAAUAAAAUUGAGUAUAAGAGGCUAAAAAAAAUUUUAUAAUUCAGAAAGUUUUAUAAUACUUAUGAAUAAGAUAUAAAUAAUAUAUAAGGGGCGGGAUGAAACUUUACAAACUGGCCGUAACUGUAACUUAGGCGGACCCCUUCAUUGAUUGUACUUUGAAUGGAAAUUCUUUCACACGUUCUCGCCUUUAUUGUUUGUUUUGUCUCCAUCCAUGGAAUUUCCUCCUUGGAAAUGAAUGAUAACCAAUAUCCGGUGGCCCUUCAGAUUUACAAAGACUUGCAUAUGCAAUUGCGACGAAUUAAUUAAUCGUUAUAUCUUUUUUUUUUUUUUUCAAUUUUAAUUAAGUGGUUUCAUCACACAGUAUUUAACUCAAUUGAAGAUUCUUCAAUGGCCUAAAAUGAUUAUAUUUGUUUUUAAAACAAUAAUUUGGGUUGUACCUAAUUAUGAUCUAGAUGAUUGUUGUAGAAUCAGACAGAAAAUCUCUCAUCAUGAUUAAUUCUCUCCAAUGAAAAAAAUUUAAAGAAUAUACAAUUUAAAGUAAAACCCAACUAGAUAUCGAGAGACAAAUUAAUUUAAACAAUUAUAUGUAUUCAGCUCGUCACAAAAUUGAUUAAUUAAAACUAUCCUGUAAUGUAUGGAAUAUGGUCACUUUUGGUAUGCAACUCCCUCAGUAGGAUGCAUAACUGUUUAAUAGGUUAUUUUGUUAAUGGAUGAUAAGGUCUGUACCAUAACAGAUCUAUCGAUUAUAUAUAUAUAUUAUUAGUGCUUUUUCAUUGAUAAAAAGCUUAAGAAUAUUAUAACAAAGAAUUAAACUCAGAUACAUUCUGAAUUCAAUUCAAUUACAAAUAAGAUGCAAGAAAAGGAAAAUCUAAGGUAGCACUUAAGGAGGCUAAUAUGAUUUAGCAAUAUCUGAUCAUCAUGUAUCAUCUCCCUUUCGGAUUCAGGAUCUCAGAGAACACAGCUCCAGUAUACUUAUCAGAACUUCCAGUAGAAAGACUUUGAUCAUCAGUAGCAGUAGUAGUUGAUAUGGUAACCGCACUAAUGGUUUUUGAAUCUGAAAGUACAUGUUUUCCAACACUAGAGAACACGGAACCACUACCAUCGGUUUCGUAGUUGUCCAAAAUUUUUUCUUCCUCCUCAUUCUCAUCAAUCUCCUUUGCAAUUGCAAUACUACUUUCCUGCAGCUGCAAUGCGAACUCAAGUCCCCAAACCACAUCGCUCAUCGAGGGCCGUCUGAUUCCUUCGUCAUUCAAGCUGCUCAUCGCUACCUCAGCAAAUUUGUUCAAGCACUCUGGCUUUAUCUUACCCUUCAAGAAUGGAUCAACAAUCUGAUCAAUUGUUCCAUUUUGAAAACAUUGUUGUGCCCAAACAGCUAAACUCACUUGUUUCUUAUCUGCUGUCCGCAGAAUAGGUGGCCGAGCACACAAUACUUCGAACAACACAACACCGAAUGAGUAGACGUCAGAUUUCUCAGUAAGCUGCUGAAGUCGGUAGUACUCAGGAUCUAAGUAUCCGACGCUGCCCUUAACAACUGUACUCACAUGAGUUUUGGACACCGAAGUUGAUCCAAAUUUGGAGAGUCCGAAGUCGGAAACCUUGGCCACCCAUUUCUCGUCCAACAAGAUGUUGGUUGUCUUCACAUCACGAUGAAUGAUAACAGCAUGGUUUGCCCCAGUAUGCAAAUAGUGAAGCCCACGAGCUGCACCAAUGCAGAUUUCAAGCCUUUGAUUCCAUGGAAGAGGGGGACUGUCGCUAUGGUAGAGAUGAUCACGUAGGGUCCCACGAGCCAUGAAAUCGUAUACAAGGAUCAUCUCCCUGUCAUCGUUGCAAAAGCCUAUCAGAGGGACUAAAUGAAGAUGCCGGAGCUGCGAGAGCAUUCCUAUCUCAGUUUGGAAUUCCAGGGCACCCUGUUGCGACUCUGGUUCCAGUCGUUUAAUGGCAACAGGGGUAGUGCUGCCAUUGAUGAAGCCUUUGUAGACAUUACCAAACCCUCCAACUCCAAUUACGAGAUCAUUGUCGAAGUUGUUUGUACCCGCUUGGAUUUCAGAUAGUGAAAAUUGGGUGCAAAGAUCGGAAGGAAGGAAUGAGCCGCGUGAUGACUUGGUUGCCUUGAUAGUCUUAGAAGAAAUAAAAGUCCCCAAAAGUGAAGUACCUGUACCGGAACCCGAGUCCUUGACUUUUCUUCCUCGCCAGAAAAUUAACAACAAUAGAAGAGAUAGCACACCAAAGCCUGAUAUAACACCAGCAACCAUCCCGGCUACAUUAUUCUUCUUAGUCGGUUCUAUUGUUGGAGACGCAUCCAAAUUAGGUGGGAUCGUCCGAGGCUCAGGAUUAGGUCCAGCGAGAUUUCCAGUGUUGUCCACUUUAAAGAUUUCAAGGCCGUUCAAGAUAGCAUCAGAGUAUUUGGUCCUCCAUCUGGGGGCAGGGUGCAGUUGAAUAGAAAGAUUCUGCUUAAUAUUUUCUUCAUUUGGUUUUGGUCCUAUCGUCACAGCAUAAUCUCUAUAUACGGCAACACCAUUCGCACCAGUCCAGGCUAUCACAUCUGCUUGAACUUCAGCAGUUAAAUUAGCAAUGAAGAUCUGGAACACCCUAUCGCCCUCUUCAGUUACCUCUAUCUGAAACUCACAAAAAUGAAGCCUCAGAAAAUAUGUAAAGCCCGAAUCCACUUCGAACUCCCAAGUGAGAUUAUACUUCUCGUUGAUUUCCCUAUCCUGCCCCAUCGUCCUGGCGGUUUUGUAGACCAGAUCUGGAGCAGAGUAAUUACGUAUCCAAGUGAGAUGAAUACUCUGGUUAACGGGAAGAGCACUUGGUCUGGCAUCUGUCAAGUAGGGGUCGUCCAUUUCCCAAGUUCGGUACAUGCCGCCGGUGUCGUCUGACGGUGAUAUUUGUUUCCCGCCGACGUUUAUCCGGUAUAAAGUCGCCAGAGCAUUUAUGUUUAAGAUACUGUAUGGGUUGUCCUGGCCAACAAACCUGAACCCCCCGCCGGGAUCAUCGGCCGCGGUGUAAUAGAAAUUGAGGGGCAUGGAUAAAAUCUCAAUUCCAUUGAUAAAAGCAUAUGAAUCGUUGUAAUCCGGACUUGGAGUGAAGGUUAUGUUCAAUAGCCUCUGAUCGUCUUCGAUGUUAAUGCAGAAUUCUUUGAAAAAGGGACUGCGGUCGUUGCCAUAUGCUGCAAGUGAAGCGCUAAAGUUUCUUAACAGAGUGAAAGAAGCUGCUUUUACAGAGAAGAAAGCUGC